rnacentral:lncRNA from 1 species
UCCGCGAUCACUUACGCCGCACACCGCCUCCGAGCAGUCACCCCGCUCGCGCCUCCCCCGCACUCCAAACCGUUGAGCCUUUGUCACCGUCGCCGCCCCUCUUCGAGUUCUUCAGCUUUUGCACCAUGGGAGGCAAGCAGAUGCAGAUGGUGGAGCUCUGCGGCUUCCUCAGCCAUGUCGGCUCCAUAUAUUGAUGUGGUUGGCGUCCUGUGCCCCUCCACUGCCGAGGCAAUCGAGCGUCCAGGCAUCUAUUUGGACUGGCGUUGAAUCAUGACGAAUUCUACAAGGAUGCAAGAAGCUGGCAAGCAACAACGAGCAUGACCGUACCAUACAUGAAUGUGCAUAAAUCCAAGGUGAUUCUCAUGUUCCAAACCUUUCUUUCUUUAUUUCCCCUAAAGAUAAUUGGAGAUUGUAAAUCUUUAUUAACAUGUUUACAGAAGAAGAUCUAGGUGGAGGAGAUCUAGAUCAUACAAGUUAGAAUAUGUGUAUUUCUGAAUACAUCUUUGUUCAAAACCUUCCAAUCUGCACUCCUCUAUAACAUGUGAUCUGAUCUUUCUG